CCCAACAGUUACCUGACACCGUUGAAUCGAAAAUCAUCCCCAGCAGCCAGACAAAGCUUCUGAAUGACAAAAAUGCCACGCCAGGGAAAAGCAGAAGCAAGCUCAACCUUCUGGAAGAGGAGAGCCAGAGCACAGGGGUCUGACCCGCUAGAGGAUUUGGGGGCAAGGGGUCUCGGGAGGCCCCCUCUGAAAUCUCGGUCGCCUUCUCCUGGAGUCCACCCGUCCUUCCGAGGAACCUUUCCCUUUGGCUCCUGUGUCCCAGAGAGACUCCUGGAACUGUGAGGAAACUGGCCAGCAGCCUCUUGGGUUGCUUCUGGUGCUCUGACCCGGCUGCAGCACCCAGGACGUCCUCUGAGCAGCACUUGACGGACAAAGGGUGGUUGAGUUUGGGGGGGGCGGGAAUCUCUAAGACUGUGAACGGCAGAGAACAGCCACCCUGUGCCUACGGACUGGAUUACUUUUGCGGGAGUCGGUGUGAGCAGGGACCGGCAAGGGUGUCAUUGCAACAGCGUUCCCUCUGCUCCACUGACUGUGUUGAUCUUUUCCUCCCCACGUGCAACAGAUCUCCCUUCCACCCAGAGGUCUCAUGUGUACAUUCCACCCACCCUCCAGGCACACUUCAGUUUGUUAGUCCCCACACCAGGCUUUCACUGGUGGCUCCAGCGCUUGGCUCUGGGGCACCCCCACCCACCAGCCUCCCUCUGCAGCUCUUGCGCUUCCUGCCUUGGACUGUAGCUGCACCCAGCCGCCAUGCCAGGCCUGACUCCAGGACCUGAAACUUGCUCCUCCCACAUUCCAAGCACACCCGCCUUGCUGGUCUUCUGAACGCCAGCGCCAGGCUCCAAGGGCAUUUGAAGCAGCCGUGAGUCUCACCUGGCGCCAGGCAGGGCAUCAAACCAUCCUCCCCAAAUUGUGCCAAAGUCCACACUCCCUAGAGCUCUGUCUUGCCAGGAUUGCACUGCUCGCCCUCUUUCCAGAAAGUGGGUCCCCAUAGCGAUCAGGUGGUGGGCUCUGUCUGUGCCAACCCAGGAAAUGCUGCUAUUCUGCCAAGCAACCCUUCCUUCCCAGAGGAUGCCUGUCUCCUGGCCACUUUCACCUAAAGUUUCAUUCUCUUCCCCCUUGCUUUGCGUCUCUAGUUCUUCAAUCCAACACAGGUUUAAAAAACAGUUUGCGCAGGUGGGAACUGGGGCGGGAGCCAUUCCGACCCCGUGCUGGUGUUUCCCAAAUACUGGCGUUUAAGUGACUCCUCACGUAAGCUGUUGAGUGGUUGGGGAUGGGACAACAGGAUUUGGCCCAUCAAUCUGCCGGCAUUCCAGGCACUGAGUCUCCCACCUUGUGAAUGCUUGCAGUGCAUGGAGGAUCUGCAGCAUUUUGCUGCAGUUUACCCAAGAAGGCCUGCUGGGUGGAAGGAAGUCCUCAAGGACCGCCAUUCCUCCUCUAACUGCUCCUUCUGGCUCCUUGUCUUCGUGCUUAGAAGAGCAGCUGCUGUUGCAUUUCCCUCUGGACUAGCCUUCCCCAGCCUGUGCACUUCAGAUGUUUUGCACUACACCUUCCCAUCAGCCCCAUGCGGCACGGCUCCUGCUCAAUGGCUGAUGGGAGCAGGAGUCCAGCACAACUGGAGGGCACCAGGUGGAGAAGGCUGGUCUCGGCUGUCCUCCUUGGCUGCCGGGUUCUGGCUGGAGAGGCAGCACAGGAUGCUAUGCUUGCCCUCCACGCUAGCUUGGGCAGAGAGAAACAGUCCCCCCACCCUUAGUUGCUACUUACAGUAUUCCCCCACUGGAGUUCUUGUUUUUAAAAUGAAAUAAAGGACUGAAGAGCAAGAGAGGGAAAGAGAGAAAGUUGGUUUCCCUUUCUCCCUCUCUCGUCCUCUCCCUGUCCAUAACCAACAGCAGAAGUUGUCUAAAAGCAAUGUAUAAUUUCAGGUAAAUUAUUUGUAACCUGA